GGGCCUAUAACUCAGUUGGUUAGAGUAGCGGACUCAUAAUCCGUUUGUCCAAGGUUCGAGUCCUUGUAGGCCCACCA
rnacentral:tRNA from 1 species